rnacentral:rRNA from 1 species
CGGCCGGGAACUCAAAGGAGACUGCCAGUGAUAAACUGGAGGAAGGUGGGGAUGACGUCAAGUCAUCAUGGCCCUUACGACCAGGGCUACACACGUGCUACAAUGGCAUAUACAAAGAGAAGCGACCUCGCGAGAGCAAGCGGACCUCAUAAAGUAUGUCGUAGUCCGGAUUGGAGUCUGCAACUCGACUCCAUGAAGUCGGAAUCGCUAGUAAUCGUAGAUCAGAAUGCUACGGUGAAUACGUUCCCGGGCCUUGUACACACCGCCCGUCACACCAUGGGAGUGGGUUGC